rnacentral:rRNA from 1 species
ACAACCUACGGGGCGCAGCAGUGGGGAAUAUUGCACAAUGGGGGAAACCCUGAUGCAGCGACGCCGCGUGAGUGAAGAAGUAUUUCGGUAUGUAAAGCUCUAUCAGCAGGGAAGAAAUACUGACCUUACGGUCAGCAGACGGUACCUGACUAAGAAGCCCCGGCUAACUACGUGCCAGCAGCCGCGGUAAUACGUAGGGGGCAAGCGUUAUCCGGAUUUACUGGGGGGAAAGGGAGCGUAGGCUGUUUCGUAAG